GACGAACGCUAGCGGCAGGCUUAACACAUGCAAGUCGAGGGGCAGCACGGACUUCGGUCUGGUGGCGACCGGCAAACGGGUGCGGAACACGUACACAAUCUACCUUUAUCUGGGGUAUAGCCCGAAGAAAUUCGGAUUAAUCCCCCAUAAUAUAUUAGAGUGGCAUCACUUCGAUAUUAAAACUCCGGUGGAAAAAGAUGAGUGUGCGUCCCAUUAGCUAGUUGGUAGGGUAACGGCCUACAAAGGCAACGAUGGGUAGCUGGUGUGAGAGCACGACCAGCCACACGGGCACUGAGACACGGGCCCGACUCCUACGGGAGGCAGCAGUGAGGAAUAUUGGUCGAUGGACGCAAGUCUGAACCAGCCAUGCCGCGUGAAGGAUGAAGGCCUUCUGGGUUGUAAACUUCUUUUAUUGGGGAAGAAAAUUACGGUUUCUACUGUAACCGACGGUACCCAAGGAAUAAGCACCGGCUAACUCCGUGCCAGCCGCCGCAGUAA
rnacentral:rRNA from 1 species